rnacentral:rRNA from 1 species
UACGAAGGGAGCUAGCGUUGUUCGGAAUUACUGGGCGUAAAGGGCGCGUAGGCGGGUUUCCAAGUCGGGGGUGAAAUUCCAGGGCUCAACCCUGGGACGGCCUUCGAUACUGGGAGCCUGGAGUUCGGGAGAGGUGAGUGGAAUUCCGAGUGUAGAGGUGAAAUUCGUAGAUAUUCGGAAGAACACCAGUGGCGAAGGCGGCUCACUGGCCCGUUACCGACGCUCAGGCGCGACAGCGUGGGGAGCAAACAGG